rnacentral:rRNA from 1 species
CCUACGGGUGGCAGCGGUGAGGAAUAUUGGUCAAUGGACGAGAGUCUGAACCAGCCAAGUAGCGUGAAGGAUGACUGCCCUAUGGGUUGUAAACUUCUUUUAUAUGGGAAUAAAAUGUUCCACGUGUGGGAUUUUGUAUGUACCAUAUGAAUAAGGAUCGGCUAACUCCGUGCCAGCAGCCGCGGUAAUACGGAGGAUCCGAGCGUUAUCCGGAUUUAUUGGGUUUAAAGGGAGCGUAGGUGGAUUGUUAAGUCAGUUGUGAAAGUUUGCGGCUCAACCGUAAAAUUGCAGUUGAAACUGGCAGUCUUGAGUACAGUAGAGGUGGGCGGAAUUCGUGGUGUAGCGGUGAAAUGCUUAGAUAUCACGAAGAACUCCGAUUGUGAAGGCAGUUCACUGGACUGCAACUGACACUGAGGCUCGAAAGUGUGGGUAUCAAACAGGAUUAGAUACCCGGGUAGUC